GGGGAUGUGACGAAGUGGUAUCGUGCUUCAUUUGCAUUCUGAAUUCUAGUCAGUAAAUAGCUACUAGAUGACGGUUUACAAAACUUGAAGAAAUCCUGGGUUCGAUCCCCAGCAUCUCCA